UACGUAGGGUGCAAGCGUUAAUCGGAAUUACUGGGCGUAAAGCGUGCGCAGGCGGUUAUGUAAGACAGGUGUGAAAUCCCCCGGGCUUAACCUGGGAACUGCAUUUGUGACUGCAUAGCUAGAGUACGGUAGAGGGGGAUGGAAUUCCGCGUGUAGCAGUGAAAUGCGUAGAUAUGCGGAGGAACACCGAUGGCGAAGGCGGCUCGCUGGGCCAGUUCUGACACUCAUCCGCGAAAGCGUGGGGAGCAAACAGG
rnacentral:rRNA from 1 species